rnacentral:rRNA from 1 species
GGACUACCGGGGUAUCUAAUCCCGUUCGCUCCCCUGGCUUUCGCGCCUCAGCGUCAGAAGAGGACCAGCACGUCGCUUUCGCCACCGGCGUUCCUUCCGAUAUCUACGCAUUUCACCGCUCCACCGGAAGUUCCACAUGCCCCUACCUCCCUCAAGACUACCAGUAUCAGGGGCACUUUUCCGGUUGAGCCGAAAGAUUUCACCCCUGACUUGGUAACCCGCCUACGCGCCCUUUAAGCCCAGUGAAUCCGAACAACGUUCGCACGGUUCGUCUUACCGCGGCUGCUGGCAC